GGGCCCGCACAAGCGGUGGAGCAUGUGGUUUAAUUCGAUGCAACGCGAAGAACCUUACCUGGGCUUGACAUGGGAACGACCGCUCGAGAGAUCGAGCUUUCUCUUCGGAGACGUUCCGCACAGGUGCUGCAUGGCUGUCGUCAGCUCGUGUUGUGAGAUGUUCGGUUAAGUCCGGCAACGAGCGCAACCCCUGUCUUUAGUUGCUAACGAGUCAUGUCGAGCACUCUAAAGAGACUGCCCGGGUUAACCGGGAGGAAGGUGGGGAUGACGUCAAGUCCUCAUGGCCCUUACGCCCAGGGCUACACACGUGCUACAAUGGUCGGUACAGUGGGAAGCAAUACCGCAAGGUGGAGCAAAUCCUCAAAGCCGUCCUCAGUUCGGAUUGGAGGCUGCAACUCGCCUCCAUGAAGCUGGAAUCGCUAGUAAUCGUAGAUCAGAAUGCUACGGUGAAUACGUUCCCGGGCCUUGUACACACCGCCCGUCAAGCCACGAAAGAAGAGAGCGCUCCAAGUCGCCAAGCUAACCCUUACCGGAAGCCAGCGCCUAAAGCGAGAUCUUUGAUUGGGGCUAAGUCGUAACAAGGUAGCCGUAUCGGAAGGUGCGGCU
rnacentral:rRNA from 1 species